UUUCAUGGUUGUAGGAUUUUAAAAAUAAUAAAUUUCAUGAUUUCAGCUAUUUAAAUCUGAAAUUUCACCUUGUGGUAAUUGUAGGGGCCCUGACCAUAAAGGAGUUGACUGUGUGGGUUUGGGGUG